UCAAAUGUUUCGCUUACCUGCUAAGACCUUUAGUGUUGACGUAGAUAUUGUGCGACACUCAACCAGGUUCUAGAAAAAAGGAACUCCCGCUUGCAGCGAAACGAAAUAUUCCUUCGAGGACUCUCGAGGACUCUCCCAAGCCAGCAACGCUUCCACCGGCUCUUGUGUUCCCUCAUAAAGCACAUGAGGGAACACAAGCAUACAUAGAUUACAAACAAUAGACAAUCGAGCUAGGGGGUACAAUAUCACAUUACAAUUACACAAGGACCUUAAAGGACAUGCAUAUACUUACAAUUCUAACAGCUUUUUUGUUAGUAGAGCAUUUAACUGUCUUAAAAUACAGUUCAAUUUCUUUUUGUAGGGUACUAAAAUGUGGUUUUCUGUUUGUGUAUAUGAAUAGUAGUAGCCAUACUAGCCUCUAAGUCGCUCGUUUUAUCAUUACCUCAUUAUAUUAAUAUAAUAAUUUUUGUAUAGCUUUUUAAAAAAAGUAUUAUUGUUGAAAACUGUGUUUAUCCGUUCAGUUAGUGACUUUUGUAAUUCGAUUAUUGUGUUCUGUCUUUUUUUGUCUCGUUUAGCUAGCUAUUAACGCGCUAACCAUUAAGGUGGCUAGUAAUUAGUCAACACCCCUGCUACCAUGGCAUUGUUUUUACACAAGGUGCUUGAAGAGCUGCCAAAGGUAACAGUGACGGGUGUACAUCGUUUGGCCAAGCAAAGCACCGACCUCCAAGUUGGAAAAAGGUUUAAAACUUUGUCUCCAGUUACCUUUUCUACUACGAAGGUUGUACUGAAGCGCUCUGAGCCAGAAACAAUGACACAUCACUGUUUAUGUGUUGCUGGCACUGCAUUAUGCAAACACACAGUUGCAUUACUAUUCCAGUCUGCACACUAUUCCCAGAUGGGAACAUCAGUCAUCCCACCUGUGCACAGAGGCCAGGCAGCAGUGGCAUAAGCCCAGGACUAUGGGUCUGAAACCUGGGCCUAUAGGCAAAAUGACCAUCACCAAGCCCACCAAAAAGUGCAUGGCAGAAAGAGGGAUUAGAAGUACACUCUACAGUGCCCUUCUUGGACCGCUCCCUGACUUCUCAGUUCUUCAGAUAGAAGAGGCAUAAAAUAACUUUGACCCUCAAUCCAAGCCAUUGAUCUGCAGCAUGGGGAUGUCUGCUGAAAAGCUUUUAGCCAAGGAAAGGUGCAAGUGGGGAGCCUCCUGUCUUACCAGCAGCCACCAAUCACAAAGCAACACAUAGUUCACCAUAAGGAGACACCACCAUUCCCUUCACUGCCCCUGGAUUGCUACAGACUGGAGAACAACUUUCAAGGCUGCACAUUUGUGUUCAGUGAAGGAGACCAGCUUCACAUAGUCUCUUCAGGUGAGCUUCGCAACAGCCCAUAAAAUAGAGGAAGCUACUAGAGAACAGAGUGCUUUCUCCGACUGGCAGGUGCUACAGAAACCAAGACUGACCUCGUCACGGUUCUGAGAGGCUUGCCAUGUGAGAGUGCCUGCGGAUGUCUGCCAUCUAGCCGAAAGGAUCCUCAAAGGCACAGCACCAACAGCUGACAUGAAGAGGGGACUGGAGUUGGAGAUGGAAUCAGCCAGUGACUACUGCAAGAUGCAGAAUGUCAAAUGCUCACCCUGUGGCCUCAUACAUCCUGACAUCCCUUGGUUUGCUUCUUCUCCUGAUGGCCUGGUCUACAACCCUCUCGAGCAUCCACCUUUUGGCCUAGUUGAGAUUAAGAACCCAAACGUUAUUAUCAAUACAUGGACUACAGGGUGUUAGACAAUGUGGAUGGUGACAGCAAAAAAAAGGAAAGAUGCAUUGCAGUUGUAGCUCAUUGCACCUUGGCCCAUGCCUUCACAAGAGGCCCACACUGGUAGUUUGUGAGAAGGCAAGCCACAGCCCAGAUGCAGUUGAUGCUUCCCAUCAGUGACUUGGGGAUCUCUGACUGAAACAGCUUGUUCAGUUUAAUUCUGCCAAUUAAUCUCUCAAUGUGGACUCUAUAAGAUGAGCAAUCUCUUGUGUUUUGAUGGACCUGUGCUGCUGGCAUUUGGCUCCGUUUAGACAGAAAGGGUGGACGGUAGACCUUGUCUGGCACACAGUCAUCAAUCAUGAACCCCUUGUCUGCUAUCACUGCCGUGUCUUCAGUGAGCAAGUCAAACAGCCUGAUUUAUUUAUUUUUUAUUUUUUAAUAUCUCUGUUGCUGAUGGAGCCCGCAUACAAUUCUGACUACAGUAACUGAUCCAUGUGGUGCCAUGGGGCUUUCAAGGUGCAGUGGGACUUGUAAUGACUGUGUAGAGGGAGACUGGCUGGCUGCUGGCAUUUCAACUCGGUACAGUCAAUAAUGACUUGGGUGCCUACCUACUGAGCUCCUUCGGCAACACAUCAUGGACAAACUGAAUUGGUCCACACAGACAGCGUUGUGAAGAAGGCGCAGCAGCACCUCUUCAACCUCAGGAGGCUUUAGAAAUUUGGCUUGUCACCAAAAGCACUCACACUUCUACAGAUGCACAAUCGAGAGCAUCCUGUCGGGCUGUAUCACCGCCUGGUACGGCAACUGCUCCACCCACAACCGUAAGGCUCUCCAGAGGGUAGUGAGGUCUGCACAACGCAUCACCGGGGGCAAACUACUUGCCCUCCAGGACACUGUUAGAUUUGCGUCAAUUCGAAUCUGGUAUCAGGAUAAAUAUGACAAUGAGUGAUUGUAUACUAUGUAUUUUUUAUUAGCUAAGCAAUAAGUGGUAAAUUCAAUUUUCGUAUAUACGGACUCUCUGUCCCACCUCGCAGGGCAAACAGAGAACUGACUUGUUCCUGACAAAGAUAUUAUAAUAUACCCUGAUGACUAGUAGUUCCUGCUUCCGAGCCGCCCUGUCAGAGUAGAGACUGGGCGUGGUUUAAACUCACCCAGCCUAUCGUUGAUUGUUGUCGUACGAGCUGGUACCAGCCCCCGGGCGCUCCAGUUGAUAGAUGUAACUUGCUGUGUCGAGUAUCUAUGCGCUCAUUCCCUAGAUACCGUUAUCACAUAUCUGGUUUCUGUUAUUGUUAAGUUUGAGUUCUAACAAAAACAGUCUGUGGUUUGCUACACUACGUUCUGUAUGUGUCCGUUUAUGUUAUUCUGUAUUUUUCCAUCAUGAGAAAGGCCCAUGGCCCUGAAACUGU